AGAGGCAUCCUUUAGAGCUCCUUUGUCUUCUAGCCAAUGUUGAAGACUAUGUGGCUCCUCAAAUCAAAGGGAGGGACAGAGUAGAGACAGGUAUCCAAGCAGGACACGUCACGGUCCAUUGUCAGCUAAUAGCAACUUACUAUCAAUUCCUGCUGGUCUGUCUUCCAAGUCUCCUUAUAUGGCCUGAGAUGCUCUCCAAGCUAUGGGAGCCACAAAUGGGAGGGGGCCUCCUGCAAAAGAAAUCCCCAAGAUGUGGGACAGCGAAGUCCUUGGUUCUGUUGGUUCUGCCUAGAGCGUCAUAUGAAAUUGAACAAGAGACACCCUCUGGCCUCAGUGUGUUCAGUAGGGUCUGGACCCAAGGAACCAGAAAAGCAGAGGAUUCCCCCUAAGAUCUCCUGCCUCGCUCAUCUGAAAUUUACCCCGGAGGUUUGGCCCAGGAAGUGGGUGGGCCGCCGGAAGAAAACAGCAGCCUACAGAUUCUUCUAUGCCCAAGCUUUGCUUUCCAGCCAAGAAAUUCCCAGAGAGAGAAAAAGCGUGGAAACAAGCUUGGCGUGGUGACUCACGCCUGCAGGAAAUCUGAGGAGGGUUGCUGUGAGCUCAGAGCUAGCCUAGGAUACUUAGUGAGUUCAAGGUGAGCCUGAACCAUGCAAUAUGAAACUGCGUGUGUGCGUGCAUGUAAGGGGCAGUGUGUGAUGGCGCAGAAGCAGAGAGAGAGACACAGAGAGAGAGAGAGAGAGACAGAGACAGAGACAGAGACAGAGACAGAGACAGAGACAGAGAGAGAGUGUGUUCUGGGAAGCUCUUUAAAAUUAUCCCAGUCAGCCGGACAUAAUGGCUUACACCUUAAGUCUUAGCGUUCAGAAGACAGAGAGGCAAGUGGAUCUCUGUGAAUUCGAGGAUGCCCUGGUCUACAUAGUGAGCUCUAUAACACCUUUAGCUACAUAGUGAAAUGCUAUCUCAAAACCAAAUGAUAGGGGUUAGGGAUUUAGCUCAACGGUAGAGCGCUCGUUUAGCAAGCGCAAGGCCCUGGGUUCGGUCCCCAGCUCCGAAAAAAAG
rnacentral:lncRNA from 1 species